CACAGAGUGCAAAGUGAUGGCUGUACUAUUGUACUAUUGUACUAUUGCUGUACUACAGUACAGCAGUUAUUUUCUCAUGCAGGCGUUGUGUUCCUCUCAGGGAUCAAGUGACAGGGAGGCUGACUGACUAGGUGUAAAAGUGAUGGUCCCUUCUAAUUUGAAGAGCAAGCCUCUUCUCAGACAGGAACUGAUGUUGGUGAGGUGUCCUUCCAGGCUGUAAGUUAGUGCCUCACAGAAAGAGUGAGAGAUAAGUGUCCCAGCUGCCCCAAAUGGUAACUUUUGACAGAGGGAACUUCGGAGGGUAAGAGGGUUCUGUUCCAUUGUCUAUCAGGAGCCACAGGUUUGCCCCAACUUCUACAGUGACUGCAGGUUCUCAGGGGCCCAAUUUGAUAGAGCUCAGUUUGUCCUCUUUAUCCAGCCCCAGCAUGGAGAGAAGAGGUUCAGGCUGAGGGGGGCUGGAGAGUCAGAUUUCUUUAUGUCUUGCAUAUGGAACGAACAUUUUUCUGGUGUCAAUAGCCUGAAGCCAGAGGGUGUGACUGUCUAUCAGGCUGAAUUUUCUUAUGGACAUCAUAUGCUUUAAUCAGGUUUCUGGGUGAUGGCAGGUGAUUAGCUUUUGUGUCCCUUUUUGAUGUCUGAGAUGUUCUUGAUUGGGCUAUUUCUAAGGAAAAGUGACCUUUGGGAAAUAUCAUGGUAACUCAUUCAUCAGGGCUCACAGUCCUAUAUUUCUUGGUCAAAAUGUAGAACUCAGAAGGAAUUGCUGCAGCUGUUGUGGGUAAGCAUUAAAUGAUGCUAUCUGAUCAGUGUAGGAAACAGAAGGCUCUGGAGAGAGGACCUCUGUGGCUGAGUGUGGGCAGCGGCUGACUGGAACUGGUGCAGGGCUGGAAGGAGGGGUGAAACACCUGACAUUUGCAAUUUGAAGAGCAGAAUACGUACUCUUUUGGUUCAUGCUGACUGGCUCUGAGACAAAGGCCUGCUGGGGAAGGACCGGGGAAGAAAAGGCUUCUCAUGUCAAGGUAACCAAAAGGGAGAGUAUGCAAAGAAAAGCCAGAGAAUGGUGGUACUUUUCAGUUUAUGCCCUCAUAAUCCUGCUCCUAGCCAGGUUACACUUCUAACAGCACAUGCAGUAGCUAAACUCAUUAGAGGGUGAAUUCAGUGAUGAACAUACUCACUCCACGGUCUACUCACCUUCACUACCCCACCUGAGAUUUAGGGGGGAUGUUUUAAGUAAAUCUUACAAUUCUGUUCUGGUCCUGAAAAGAUAUAUCAUCUCUUUGUGUAAAAUGUACUUACCCAAUCACCAAGACUCACCAGGGUUUUAAAAGUUCAAGAACUACUUUUAGGAAAAGUCCUAGUCUAAAAUUUCCUUUGAGACUGAAGGCAUACUCUUAGCCAUGAGCCACUGUUAAAAAUAUUUAAAAUACUACCAACAUAUAAUGGCACAUCAUAAACCUUCUAUUCCAAAAGACUGAAAUAAGAUACAGAGAGUUAUGUAGACUGGAUCAAAGUGAGAAUGGAGCCCAGCAUAGUGAGCAUUAAAUUCUAGAGCACUGUGUCCAGCACUCAGGGAAAGUUGUGAAACAUAUGAGAACCCAAGUUUUUGUGAAACCCGGUCCAUGUGAAUUUGCCUAUUGAAGCCCCCCUGGCCUUUAUUGGGGUGGUUCUGCUAACUACCUGCAGCUUUUCUGACUAGGUGUUCCUCAGACUCGGCAUCUUCAGCUUCCUCAAGCCUCCAUUACACUUUUGGCUUCUUCUUUACAGCUUAAAGCAUUACUUUCAGGGCCACCCUGCUUGACCUACCAUCUUGUGAAAUCUGAGUAGAAGACACACAGCUCUUACCUUCUUCUUUCCCAUAAAACCAGCACUAUGUGGAAAAUGCGGAGGUCUGUGGUCAGAUCUACCAGUUUCCAGUUUCUCUUGGAUCAUGGUUACAAAGACAUCUGAUGCCUAAACUACAGGAAAUGCUUUCCUGGAUAGCACUGAAUGAACUUGGCUCUCCAGGGCUCUAGUUCCAAAUCAAACUCUUUCAUUUUUGGACUUUUAGUCUUCUGAUGGGUAAAGUAUGCUUAAUUUAUGAAAUGUUCCUCAGAUAAUUUCCCUAUUUUCCUGAUGCAAAGAAUUUGGCUCUUUUAAACAUCUGUGCUCUCCUUUCUGCCAACUUUCCCAUGCUAUAUUUCUGAUGAAACUGCAAAUUUUAAAAAUAAUUUAACUGUCAUUUUUUUUCUCAUUUUCAUAAUAGAUCUUGCUAGAAACAGCAAGCAUCCCUAACUAUAGAUGAACUAUUGGGCCGCCUUGAACUUUCCUCAGCCUCAUAAAUCCAUCAUACUUAAUCUUAACCUUCUGCACAGUCUCAUGCUUUAGAUAAAGAUUCCAUUUGAUUUUUUGCCAGAGUAUGACACCCAUGACCAGGAGUCCAACAGCCAGUGGAGUUCGUAUUUCUAACUGGAACUUCCGGAGACUAGCUUUACUGUAUGCAUUUCUAUCAGUAUUCUGUUCUUCAAGCUCUGAUCAGAAUUUCACACCUACCUUGGCAAACAGUAUUCUAGAUUUUUCUGCCAGAUUUUCAAACUACUCCCAAGAAUGUCUUCCAAGCAAGUGGAAGCCAGUAAGUCAGAUACAUUUACAGAAAUGAUCCCGCUUUGUGUAUAAAAAUCUAUUUUGGUGACUUUCUUUCUUGCAGGGACAAAAUAUUCAAUACCCAGAACCUUAAGGACAAAAGAUUUAUUGAGGCUAAUAUUUCACUGUCUGCAAGAGAGAAAUGGCAUGAUGGAAAGGCCUGAUGGGAGGAAAUCAGCACAUGUUACGGUGGUCAGAAUUCACACAGUGAAUAGGGACCAGACAGUCCUAGUUGCCUCCAGGUCAAGGCCCAGGUACCUGCCUCUAGCCAGACUCUAAAGAGCACACUCAACUGCUAAAUUCACAGUUGGUGAAUCCCUUGAUGGGUGUAGUGCCCUGAUGAUCCAGGCACCUUUCAAAACACAAAGUUUGAACACAUGAGACUUUCUGGGAAAUUUUAGAUCUAGCAAAACAGUUGAUAUUAUUUUCAACGUUCAAGUUCCAAUAUCAAUUGGUGGUUCUGUUUUAAUUUUAUUUUAAAGCUCUGUGCAUAAGCUUUCUAUGGAUUCCAAUGCCAUGAAAUUACUAAGAAUUAUUCACACUCAUAACCCCACUCUCCCAGAAUUUAAAGUCUAUUUUCUUUACCUUUCAACUAUUUGUCAUAUUGUGUCUCGUUUCUUGUAAUAUAUUUGCAUAACAAAAUAACAUUAAUUAUAGGAGCUAGCUGUGUCUUGUUUCAUUCAUUCAUUAAAUCACUUAUUCCACCAGUAUUUAUUGAAAUGUAUUAUUUUGAUAUAAUAUGGAUUGAUUAUAAAAACAAACAAAGACUAUGGCUACUUUUGAAAAAUAUAUUCUUUCUAAAAGCGAGGGAAAAACAAACCAAAAGUCACAAUUACAUAUUUGCCAAUUGAGGUAACUGAUGUUCCAAAUACAAGUAACGUAUUAAGAAAGCAGUAAAAAUGUAGUAAUUAAGUAUUUCUUCUUGAGAUUAUGAAUAUUACUUUUUUUUCAUCUCAAAUAGACUGCUUAGCAAUUUGGUAUGUUAUAUAUGUGAAAACAGAAAAAUCGGGCCUCCCAAACCUUGCCAAAGUUAACAUUAUAAUAAAAAGCAAACACCUUAUUUCUAAAAUUUAGUAGGAUUAUUAAUGUCCUGAUUCUUAUGCUGAAAUAUUUUGCAACAUAUUUUAAAUUACUGUUUAGCUGUUUCCUUUCACUUGGAAAGAUAUAAGAAUGAAUUUAACUAACUUUCUUUUCUAAGAGUUUCCUAAAAUUUAAGAUAUACUUGUAUUGAAGGAUCUAAUUCUUGAAAAGGUGUCUGAACUCCAAAAGAGAAAUUGGUAUCUCACAAAAUUGUAAACCAUUUUUAAGUCCAGUUAUUUGGCAAAAUGAUUUAGGUAGCUAUAGGCUUGUAGCAUUCAUAUUACCUUGAACAUUGUGCCACCUUUAAUAAGAAUGUUUCAUCAUUCUCUCUAUACUUAAUUCAGCAUCUUGAAAUGAAUAGCUAAGUUUCAGUUAAUAUAUAACCCUUCUGCUAAUGAACAUUCAGAUCUCUCAAGGCCUAAGACCAAUUUGAUAGUUGUCUGAGUACUAUAUACUCCAAGAUUCUAUUAAGUGAUAUCAUAAUUUCCCGAAAAGUAAAUGUCAUUUUUGGCAAAUUUUCUGCCAAAGCACAUUCAUUGGCAGUAUGAAUUGAGAAGUUAACUUCCCUAGAGAAAAUUUUUCAUAAACUUUUGGCAGUGUUAUAUGAAAAUAAUCAAUGAAGGUCAUUUUGAAAGUCACAAUAUAGUAUUGUUCAUGUCAGCUUAUUUGAUAACUAGAGAAAAAUUUAAGUGACUGCAGGAAAUUGUACUUUUGUUACUCAAUAUACUUUUAUUAAUAUGUAAAUUUUGGAAUGGUUUUAUUUAAUUGGAAAGUAUGAAUUAUUUAAUAGGUACAAAUAAAAUUACUAACCAUACUGAAAUGUAUGUACCUACAUCUGUGACUAAAUUGGCAAAACACUUUGCUAUAACUUACAUGACUAUUUAAAAAGUGUAAAUUUGUAAAUUAAUUUUAACUGAUGAACAAAAAAAUAAAAGUUGUGCAUUGUAA